GAUGAACGCUAGCGGGAGGCUUAACACAUGCAAGUCGAGGGGUAAAUGGUAGCAAUACUAUGAGACCGGCGGACGGGUGCGUAACGCGUAUGCAACAUACCUUGUGCAGGGGGAUAGCCCGUGGAAACGCGGAUUAAUAUUCCAUAGUCCAGCUAUAUCGCAUGGUAUAGUUGGUAAAGAUUUAUCGGCACAAGUUUGGCAUGCGUCUGAUUAGCUUGUUGGUAGGGUAACGGCCUACCAAGGCUACGAUCAGUAGGGGUUCUGAGAGGAUUAACCCCCACACUGGUACUGAGACACGGACCAGACUCCUACGGGAGGCAGCAGUGAGGAAUAUUGGUCAAAUGGGCGGAAGCCUGAACCAGCCAUCCCGCGUGAAGGAAGACAGCCUUACGGGUUGUAAACUUCUUUUCUGUCAGAAGAAUAAGCUUGUCGAGACGAGUGAUGCCGGUAUGACAGGAAUAAGCAUCGGCUAACUCCGUGCCAGCAGCCGAC
rnacentral:rRNA from 1 species